UACGAAGGGGGCUAGCGUUGCUCGGAAUCACUGGGCGUAAAGGGUGCGUAGGCGGGUCUUUAAGUCAGGGGUGAAAUCCUGGAGCUCAACUCCAGAACUGCCUUUGAUACUGAGGAUCUUGAGUCCGGGAGAGGUGAGUGGAACUGCGAGUGUAGAGGUGAAAUUCGUAGAUAUUCGCAAGAACACCAGUGGCGAAGGCGGCUCACUGGCCCGGUACUGACGCUGAGGCACGAAAGCGUGGGGAGCAACAGGAUU
rnacentral:rRNA from 1 species